AUUGAACGCUGGCGGCAGGCCUAACACAUGCAAGUCGAACGAGUGGCGGACGGGUGAGUAAUGUCCGGGUCACGGCCUGCUGGAGGGGGAUAACUACUGGACACGGUAGCUAAUACCGCAUACCAUCAGAUGUGCCCAGAUGGGUUUGGCUUGUUGGUGGGGUAAGGGCUCACAAAGGCGACGAUCCCUAGCUGGUCUGGGAGGAUGACCAGCCAAACUGGAACGGAGAUGCGGUCCAGACUCCUACGGGAGGCAGCGGGGGGGAAUAUUGCACAAGGGGAGCAAGCCUGAUGCAGCCAUGCCGAGUGUAUGAAGAAGGGCUUCGGGUUGUAAAGUACUUUCAUCGGGGAGGCGUUACCCGAAGAAGAAGCACCGGCUAACUCCGUGCCAGCAGCCGCGGUAAUAC
rnacentral:rRNA from 1 species